rnacentral:lncRNA from 10 species
CCUAAUUUAGCCCCUUAUUUGGCAGUUCAGGGCAACUGAGACUCAGAAAUGUUGAACAAUUUGCUCAGAGCUGUGAGGGAUAGGCCAGGUGAAAACGUGGCAUAUGUUCAAGUUGACCUUGGUAUUCUGGCACCGUGAAUAUAUUUAGACAUAAGUAAUUACUCUAUGAUGCAUGCUCAUACAAAUACUUUAUAUGUUGCCAUUUGUAGUCUUUUUUUAAACAUUGGCAACCUCUUUAAUAUCUAGAGACUAGAUAUUAUAAAAUUAGGACUCACUUGUCCAGUAUGUACACAAUAUACACAGUAUAACAAAGUUAAAUAAAACGCAUGUAACACAUAGGGAAAUAUAUAAGCUGAAAUU